rnacentral:misc_RNA from 1 species
UGCUGAGAUCUGUCUUUCUCUUUGCUUCUUGUUUUGGGGUUUUGGCGUUUUGGGGGCUGAGAUCUGAUUUCUUUCCCCUUUUGCAUUUUUGGGUUUUCUUUGAUUUGACUCUGUUCUUGUUGGGUUAUUGAAGGAAUUUGGUUGAAUCGUUGGAAUUCUUCUACCCUUAAGUUUAGAAUUAUAGUUUUCUUUGGUUUAAUAGUGGAUUUAUUGGGUUCUGGGUAUUGGGUUUUGUUUGUUGAACUUCGAG